AAAGAGUUUUUUCCUUCGCCUCUUCACUCUCUCUCGCCGUCUCUCCCAAAUGGAUUUAAUUUUUUUUUUUCUUUUUUGUCGACGAACUCGAAGAGAUGCAGAGGAAGAGAAGAAGGAAAAGAAUUUCCAUUAUGAUAAGUGGUUUUGGAUUCUUCUCUGGUCAUCAGCUUGAUUUUGAGAUGAUAAACUCAAAUCUCAUAAAUCGCCAAUGACUUAACCUCAGAAAUCUGUCCAAUUCAUCUCUCCGAUCAAGGAAUCAUCAAAGGCGAUCUAGGAGAACGAAGUUUGAUAAUUUGAUUCGUACUAUAAGAGUUCACUUAUUGGAUGGUACUAUAAGCGGAGUGCUAUUGUUGGAGAUGGAAUGGGGACUAUGGUGGCAAGUGACGUAUACGAAGGAACCUGAGAGGCAAAAGUGGAAGAUCUUACUGGAAUUAGAAAAACAAUCAAACCUCUGGAAGAAUCAGGGGCUUUAGUUCGCAGAAUUGAUGAAGAGCUACUGCGAGCUUUGGAUUCAUUUGUGGUUGUGGAAAAGGAAGGACAGAUUAUCGCUUGUGCGACUUUGUUCCCUUUCUUUAAAGAAAAGUGUGGAGAAGUUGCAGCUAUUGCGGUUUCAUCAGAUUGUCUCGGACAAGGACAGGUCCACUAUUAUGAAGAUGGGUCAACACCUACCGGAACUUGUGGUGUCUAUGUUUUUGGUGGAGAAAUGUCAGUUUACAAUCAAUCUUUAAUAUUUACUAAAGCUCAGAUAAAAAAUUCAAUCACUAAACUAUUGUAUCUUCGCUUUGGUCUCAAUAGUCGGAGUUCCAUGUCCACUAUUAUGAAGAUGAGUCAACACCUACUGGAACUUGCAGUGUGUUAGUGUUCUUGGUGCAGAAAGGAGGACAUGUUAAGUGUGUGUUCUUCACCGUUGAUAUUUGUUUGCCAUAUCUAUAACCAAAUAUAUGGUUGAAAAAAACUAAAGGGUUGGGUAAUACUUCUUUUUUGGCUAUUCAUUCUGCAUGAGUGAUUAAUCUGAUUCCAUCUCCUACAUCGCUGCAUUCAUUCUGCAUGGGAGAUCGUUUGUUUCUCGCCGCAAUCUCUUUCUCAUGGUAAGAAUUUUUCUGAUCUCAUUUACAGAUCGUGUUGAAUUAGGAUUAUUUGAUGUGAUUGAGAUUAGGGAAGAAAACUUUCAAGCAUCUAAAAUGAAUUUUGGCGAGAAUGACAUAGUUUUAAAAAAUUUAAGUAGCAACACUAAAAUUCAUUUUGUGUGUUGUCUAGACGGGUCUGGUCGUGAUGAACUUAAAAACUUGGUUAGUACUGAAAUAGUUGUGUGUGUGCUCUGUUGUUUUCUGCAGUUUUAGAAGAAAAAGCUAUUGCAUGUUUGGUUUGUCUAAGUUAAUAUAGAUUGCAGGUUUUGUUUGUCUAUGUUACAAAUUGUAGGUUUUUGUGAAUUAAUUUGGCUUUAUAAGUUGCAGGUUCAGGUUUGAGAAAAUGCAGGUUUUCUUUUUGCAGGCUUGAUGAUUCAUGUUUGCAGAUGAAAUUUUAUGUCCCAUAAAUGCUUUUCAAAAUGACUAAAUGAGGAACUCGACAGAAUUGUUACAUUAUAUCUUCUUAGCAGACUUCAACAAUGCAGGGUUCUCCAGGUUAUGAACUGGGGAAAUUUACAAGAAAUAUGUCAAUGGUCGAAUAUGUGGAGCUGUAAGCUGCUAGCAAAAAGACAAGUUUCGUUUUUGUUUUUUUCCAUUAUAUGUUAUAAGUCUCAUUCUCUCUGUUAAAUUAUUUUGGAGAUCAUUAAUGAUUUUAUAUUUUUUGUGUGAUCCAGUUAUCAAAAUUGAAUUUUGAUCCAUAUUUUGUUGGAAGUGUGAUUCUAUAUGUUUAAUGUUGUUAUAA